UACGUAGGGUGCGAGCGUUAAUCGGAAUUACUGGGCGUAAAGCGUGCGUAGGCGGUUCGUUAAGUUCGUUGUGAAAGCCCCGGGCUCAACCUGGGAAUGGCAAUGAAACUGGCGGGCUGGAGUAUGGCAGAGGGGGGUGGAAUUCCGCGUGUAGCAGUGAAAUGCGUAGAGAUGCGGAGGAACACCGAUGGCGAAGGCAGCCCCCUGGGCCAAUACUGACGCUCAGGCACGAAAAGCGUGGGGGAGAAACAGG
rnacentral:rRNA from 1 species